CUUCUAAUUCUUGUGAAUACAAAAGAAUAAAUAGUUUGACGACACAUUUGGAUGAAUAUAGCCCACGCGAGGUUAGUCUGUCAGUUGAGAAUGAGUAACACAAUCAGUUAUGCAGGGGAAGGAUUCAUAAUUAAACUGAAGUGGUUUGUUGUUUAGGCUGACCAUGUGCUCUGUAAAUAUUGUUUUAGCAAUGGAGUCACUUAUCAAUGCCAAUAUGUAGAUUUUUAGUAACAUCUUUCAGGGUUAUUAACUAAAGUGAGAAUUGUCAGGGAUUCAAAGUGAAUAUCUAAGCCAAACUGGAAAAAUGCUUUCAGUCGCCUAUGCUUCUAUUUCACAUAUGUCGGCGGUAAAUUUGAAAUUCAAUUUAAAUUCUCAACAACUCUCACUUUAGUUAGUAACCCUGAAAGAUGUUACUGAAAACCUACAUGUUCGCAUUGAUAAAUUACUCCUUCGCUAAAACAAUAUUUACAGAGAAAAGGUUUUGUUUUACUCCCAGUUCAUGUGUGUUUUGGAGGUCCUUAAAAGGUCAGCCUAAACAACAAACCACUUAAGUUUAAUAAUGUGGUAUUGGUGGCAGAAUCCUUCCCCUGCACGCUUAUACUUUAAAAACAGUCGGUUUUAGAGAUACAGCAGUUUCCAUUUUGCCCUAACCACCUCCCUAGUGGUGGCCAGACAGCCAUAGAAUAAUAGAUUCCUAUUAAGACAAGUUGACUUGGUUCCUGUUCCUGAAAGUCAUUUUAGUUCCUAUUUCUGCAUUCCAGGUGCCGUGCAAAACAGUAACCCCUAAUUAGAACUAUGCACUAGAACACAAUCAGAGCUCAGUUAUAUGUGAGCAAUUCCAUCCCUCCACUUACUAGUGCCAGGCAGUCACUCAACUCACUGUUUGUUAACAGACACACCCACAUGCAAUCGCGCAAUGUAGUAUUCAAU